UGGGGAAUAUUGCACAAUGGGCGCAAGCCUGAUGCAGCGAUGCCGCGUGUAUGAAGAAGGCCUUCGGGUUGUAAAGUACUUUCAGCGGGGAGGAAGGGAGUAAAGUUAAUACCUUUGCUCAUUGACGUUACCCGCAGAAGAAGCACCGGCUAACUCCGUGCCAGCAGCCGCGGUAAUACGGAGGGUGCAAGCGUUAAUCGGAAUUACUGGGCGUAAAGCGCACGCAGGCGGUUUGUUAAGUCAGAUGUGAAAUCCCCGGGCUCAACCUGGGAACUGCAUCUGAUACUGGCAAGCUUGAGUCUCGUAGAGGGGGGUAGAAUUCCAGGUGUAGCGGUGAAAUGCGUAGAGAUCUGGAGGAAUACCGGUGGCGAAGGCGGCCCCCUGGACGAAGACUGACGCUCAGGUGCGAAAGCGUGGGGAGCAAACAGG
rnacentral:rRNA from 1 species